rnacentral:rRNA from 1 species
UACGGAGGGUGCGAGCGUUGUCCGGAAUCACUGGGCGUAAAGGGCGCGUAGGCGGCUUCUUAAGCGUGUGGUGAAAGCUCGGGGCUCAACCCCGAGUCGGCCGUGCGAACUGGGAGGCUUGAGCACUGUAGAGGCAGGUGGAAUUCCGGGUGUAGCGGUGGAAUGCGUAGAGAUCCGGAAGAACACCGGUGGCGAAGGCGGCCUGCUGGGCAGUGGCUGACGCUGAGGCGCGACAGCGUGGGGAG